CUCCUUCCUCCUCCAUAUCUACAAAUCCCUUAUCUUCUCUCAAUCUCUCUUUCUCUUUCUUUCUCUUCUUCUCUGCAUCAACCAAAAUUCAAUUGCCAUGGCUUCAUCAUCAACUAUGUUCAAAUCUUUAUCCAUGACAAAUGGUUGUUUAACAUCUCAUCAUACAGCCCUAAUCACUACUAAAGCGUCAUACCCAUUCAUUUCUAUACCUUCAAAACCUAUUAAGCUUACCAAUAUCUCUUCUUCUUCAUUUCCUUCAUGGGGUUCUUUAAAAAACAAGAAUCCUUCAUCUGUUAUUGUCUCAGUAACAUCAGAUUGGGUUCCUCAAGAAAACGCUGUUGAAGAAGUAUCAGCAGAAGAAGAGGGAAGUUUGGAGAUUAAUGAUGAAGCUGGAAUUGAAGCAGAAGGAGACGGAGAAGUUUCAGAAGAAGAAUCGUUUGCUGAACCACCUGAAGAAGCUAAACUUUUUGUUGGUAAUUUACCUUAUGAUAUGGAUAGUGAGAAAUUGGCUGGAUUAUUUGACCAAGCUGGAGUUGUUGAGGUUGCUGAGGUUAUUUAUAAUAGAGAUACCGAUCAAAGUCGUGGAUUUGGCUUUGUUACAAUGAGUACUGUUGAAGAAGCUGAGAAAGCUGUAGAGAUGCUUAACCGAUAUGAUGUGAAUGGAAGGCUUCUUACUGUUAACAAAGCUGCUCCAAGAGGUUCACGACCAGAACGCGUAGAGCGUGGCCCUAGAGACUUUCAAUCAUCUUUCAAAAUAUAUGUCGGGAACUUGCCAUGGCAGAUAGAUGAUGCUCGUUUGGAGCAAGUUUUCAGUGAACAUGGUAAAGUGUUAGAUGCCAGGGUUGUUUUUGAUCGGGAAUCUGGUCGUUCACGAGGUUUCGGCUUUGUAAUGAUGGGCUCACAGACAGAGGUAGAUGAUGCAAUUGCUGCUCUUGAUGGACAGAGCUUGGAUGGAAGGGCAAUUAGAGUUAAUGUUGCAGAGGAGAGACCUAGGCGCAAUUCUUUCUAAUUUUAUGUGCAGAAUGUAGAUGAGUGUCCGCGGUCCGAAGUCCCUUUUCUCUCACGGUCAUUUAUUGUUGCAGUUUGGUGGAAGGUUGUGAUCUCUGCGGAAAUGGGGCAUACACUUUCAUGAAGCUGAGCAGUACCCCCUCAUUACUUUGAUCAUGGAGUCUACGCACUAUCCAAUCCUAAUUUUUUUUGCAUCCUUGUUAAUUUUCAACUGGCUUGAGGAGGUAGCCAUUUAGGAACUCAGUCAGGUACAUGCUAAAUUUCAUACCUGGGAUUCUCACUUGAGUCAGGUUUCACAUAGUUUUUAUGCCUUCGACUUUCCUCCCGAAUCACUUUUUUUUUCUGAAGCACCUCCUGAAUCACGUACGUGGAGAACAGGACUUUGAUUUAAAUAAAAAAAUUAACUUAUUUCUCGGUUUCCAUCA